GAUGAAGACAGCCAUGCUCUUUGUGCGGAUGGAUAAAAGGCUUCCAUUCAUACAUCAGCUGGACUUUUUGGGCCUGUCUUGGAGACCCUGCCAGUGCAGAGAGCAAUCCUACUUCCAUUCCAAUUAUGCGGAUCCUGGGUGUUCCCCUCGACAAAAGCCAACCUCGCCCUCACCUGUCUUGGCAGAACCGGACAUUCAACUCUUAUGAAGACCCCACUCGGGCUGUUCUAACCCAUGGACACCCCCUCCCAGAAAAUGUUCUGGCCCGUGAACACCCUCCCCAAAAGACAAUUUAAAAACCCCAUGCUUUGCUCAGCUCAGGGCUGUCCUAGUCUGCUGGGCAGCCCGCCAUGUCACUCUCCCCAAUAAAGACUCUUCUCGUGUCAAA
rnacentral:lncRNA from 1 species